AACGAACGCUGGCGGCAUGCCUAACACAUGCAAGUCGAACGAGAUCUUCGGGUCUAGUGGCGCACGGGUGCGUAACGCGUGGGAAUCUGCCCUCUGGUUCGGAAUAACAGUUGGAAACGACUGCUAAUACCGGAUGAUGACGAAAGUCCAAAGAUUUAUCGCAAGAGUAUGAGCCCGCGUAGGAUGAGCUAGUUGGUGUGGUAAAGGCGCACCAAGGCGACGAUCCUUAGCUGGUCUGAGAGGAUGAUCAGCCACACUGGGACUGAGACACGGCCCAGACUCCUACGGGAGGCAGCAGUGGGGAAUAUUGGACAAUGGGCGAAAGCCUGAUCCAGCAAUGCCGCGUGAGUGAUGAAGGCCUUAGGGUUGUAAAGCUCUUUUACCCGGGAUGAUAAUGACAGUACCGGGAGAAUAAGCUCCGGCUAACUCCGUGCCAGCCGCCGCCGUAA
rnacentral:rRNA from 1 species